UGUGGUGAUGGUGUGAUGAUGGUGUGGUGAUGGUGUGAUGAUGGUGUGGUGAUGGUGUGAUGAUGGUGUGGUGAUGGUGUGGUGUUGGUGUGGUGAUGGUGAGGUUACUGUGUGGUAAUGGUGUGAUGAUAGUGAUGGUGAUGGUGUGGUGAUGGUGAGGUUACUGUGUGGUGAUGGUGUGAUGAUGGUGGUGUGGUGAUGGUGAGGUUUCUGUGUGGUGAUGGUGUGGUGAUG